AGGGGUAUAGCUCAGUGGUAGAGUGUGCACUUGGCAUGUACAAGGUCCUGUGUUCAAUCCCCAGUACCUCCA
rnacentral:tRNA from 1 species